AACGAACGCUGGCGGCAGGCUUAACACAUGCAAGUCGAGCGCCCCGCAAGGGGAGCGGCAGACGGGUGAGUAACGCGUGGGAAUCUACCUUUUGCUACGGAAUAACGCAGGGAAACUUGUGCUAAUACCGUAUGUGUCCUUCGGGAGAAAGAUUUAUCGGCAAGAGAUGAGCCCGCGUUGGAUUAGCUAGUUGGUGGGGUAAAGGCCUACCAAGGCGACGAUCCAUAGCUGGUCUGAGAGGAUGAUCAGCCACAUUGGGACUGAGACACGGCCCAAACUCCUACGGGAGGCAGCAGCGGGGAAUAUUGGACAAUGGGCGCAAGCCUGAUCCAGCCAUGCCGCGUGAGUGAUGAAGGCCCUAGGGUUGUAAAGCUCUUUCACCGGAGAAGAUAAUGACGGUAUCCGGAGAAGAAGCCCCGGCUAACUUCGUGCCAGCCGCCGCGGUAA
rnacentral:rRNA from 2 species